rnacentral:rRNA from 1 species
AGCGAACGCUGGCGGCAGGCCUAAUACAUGCAAGUCGAACGGCUCUUCGGAGCAGUGGCGGACGGGUGAGUAACGCGUGGGAAUGUGCCCUUAGGUACGGAACAACACAGGGAAACUUGUGCUAAUACCGUAUGUGCCCUUCGGGGGAAAGAUUUAUCGCCUUUGGAGCAGCCCGCGUUGGAUUAGGUAGUUGGUGAGGUAAAUGCUCACCAAGCCGACGAUCCAUAGCUGGUCUGAGAGGAUGACCAGCCACACUGGGACUGAGACACGGCCCAGACUCCUACGGGAGGCAGCAGUAGGGAAUCUUGCGCAAUGGGCGAAAGCCUGACGCAGCCAUGCCGCGUGUAUGAUGAAGGUCUUAGGAUUGUAAAAUACUUUCACCGGGGAAGAUAAUGACGGUACCCGGAGAAGAAGCCCCGGCUAACUUCGUGCCAGCCGCCGCCGUAA